rnacentral:rRNA from 1 species
AGAGUUUGAACCUGGCUCAGGACGAACGCUGGCGGCGUGCCUAAUACAUGCAAGUCGAGCGCGGGAAGCGAGCUGAUCCUCUUCGGAGGUGACGCUCGUGGAACGAGCGGCGGACGGGUGAGUAACACGUGGGCAACCUGCCUGUAAGAUCGGAAUAACUCCGGGAAACCGGAGCUAAUGCCGGGUAACACCUUCUUUCGCAUGAAGGAAGGUUAAAAGAUGGCUUCUCGCUAUCACUUACAGAUGGGCCCGCGGCGCAUUAGCUAGUUGGUGAGGUAACGGCUCACCAAGGCGACGAUGCGUAGCCGACCUGAGAGGGUGAUCGGCCACACUGGGACUGAGACACGGCCCAGACUCCUACGGGAGGCAGCAGUAGGGAAUCUUCCGCAAUGGACGAAAGUCUGACGGAGCAACGCCGCGUGAACGAUGAAGGUUUUCGGAUCGUAAAGUUCUGUUGUUAGGGAAGAACAAGUACCGUGCGAAUAGAGCGGUACCUUGACGGUACCUAACGAGGAAGCCCCGGCUAACUACGUGCCAGCAGCCGCGGUAAUACGUAGGGGGCAAGCGUUGUCCGGAAUUAUUGGGCGUAAAGCGCGCGCAGGCGGUUCCUUAAGUCUGAUGUGAAAGCCCACGGCUCAACCGUGGAGGGUCAUUGGAAACUGGGGAACUUGAGGACAGAAGAGGAGAGUGGAAUUCCACGUGUAGCGGUGAAAUGCGUAGAUAUGUGGAGGAACACCAGUGGCGAAGGCGACUCUCUGGUCUGUUUCUGACGCUGAGGUGCGAAAGCGUGGGUAGCAAACAGGAUUAGAUACCCUGGUAGUCCACGCCGUAAACGAUGAGUGCUAGGUGUUAGGGGCUUCCACCCCUUAGUGCUGAAGUUAACGCAUUAAGCACUCCGCCUGGGGAGUACGGCCGCAAGGCUGAAACUCAAGGAAUUGACGGGGGCCCGCACAGCGGUGGAGCAUGUGGUUUAAUUCGAAGCAACGCGA